GAAUCUAAAAAUGUUUAAAAUAAAUAUAAAACCACCACUAAUUAUUACACUCAUAGGCCACUAUGAGACACUAUGGAUACUAUUUCUAAAUAAAGAAACAAUAUUAAUUUUAUUUCUUUAGGUACAAAACUUGGUAGAUGAGUUGGUUAAUAUGACAUCAGUUUUGGAAAAUAAACAAAACCAGCGCUCUAGAAUUUAUGAAUGGAUUGAAGAAGAAUUGGCUAUUUUGAAUAAAAUGAAGGAAAAACUAACUAGGAUUAAUGUAGAAACAACUGCUCAAGAAAUUAAUAAUUUAAAUGAAAUGUUACAAAAUAUUAGUGAAAAACAAAUCGAAAUAUCCGAAAUAGUAUCAGAUAAUUCAUCUGAUAAACUUUAUAAUGAUUUAAACAAUUUGACAAAUAUGGUAAAUCAAUCAAUUACAAUUUGUUUAAAUUAAUAUAUUUCUUUAUAAUAUUAAUAUUAAAUAUCAUUAUUAUAUAGUUUAUAUUAAUUUAACUUAUGAAUUAAUAUAAAUAUAUUAAAUAUAUAGUAUUAUUAUAAUAUAUGUAUAAUAAAACUAUGUAAUACAAUAAUGCAUUACACAGUGAAGUAUUAGUAUUUAAUAUUUGAAUAUUAUAGUAAAAUCAUAAAUUUGUAAAUUAAAAUGUAUAUUAUGUAUAUGAGGUCUUAUGAGAAUUAAUUUAUAAUUUCCCCUGUUUUUUAUAGACAAGUGAAAUACUUUUGAAAAAACAAUCUGAUCAAAAAUUAUUAUUAGAUUUUAAAAAUAGCGAAACAGAUUUACAAAAUUGGUUUGAUAAUUUAUCAAAAUGUAUUGAAUCCUUGGAAAAAGGUAGUGGAUAUACUUGUCAACAAAAAUUAGAACUAUUUAAUGAACUUAAAGAAAACUAUGUUAAUAAUGGAGAAAAACUUGUCAAUAGUUUAAGAACUAACUCUCAAAAUUUAAAAGUAGUAGUCAGUAUAGUAGAUGCUCAACUACUUGAAGAUCAGGUAGCCUGCUUAUUUAUUUAUAAUUUGUAUUGUAUUUUGUUAUUGAUCAGGGCCGGAUUUGACGGGGGGGCAUUAAGGGUAUAUGCUCCGGGCGCCCAAAUUUUAGGGGCCCCAACACUCAAAUCAAAAAAAAUAAAAAAAUUGCAAUUUGGGUUCUCAAACUAUAUUUAAAAAAAAAUAUAGUUUUGAAAAUAAAAAUUAUUAGGUAUAAAAUAUAAAUUAAAUUGUAUUACAAUAUACUACAGUCGUUAUUAUUGCAUUAUCACGGUGACAUAAAGUUGCGAAUUGAAUAAUUACAUGUGUAUGUUUAUAAAAAUCAUAAUGUAAUCUAUCACAAAUCACAAUGUAAAAUGUUGGAAAAUUCAAGACGUCAUAAUCAUUAUCGGCUUAUCGUUGUUUAUAGCUUUUAUGCCUUUAUUGUGAAUUAUUUAUUAUUUUGUACAUUCCACUUUUCGACUAAAUCUCGUUAUUUCAUUAUAAUCAGCCAAGAAUACUCAUGGGCCUGUACUGUAUAUAUUUUUAUUAAUAAAAUAAAUAAUAUAUUACUGUAUGACUUGUUCAAUUUAUUUAACAUAAAUAGUUAUUUUUAGUUCUAACUAUAAAUAUAUUUUACGCAUGGUAUAAGUUUAGGUAGGUAUGCAAUUUUUGUUAUGGACCAUUUAGGGCCCCAAAAUAUUUUUGCCCUGGGCCCCCUAAUGUUUAAAUUCGGCCCUGUUAUUGAUACAAUAUUUAUUGAAAUUUAUUAUACCUAUAUUUUAAAAAUUAUUAACUACAGAAUUGAAAUUAAAUUACCUAACUUAUUUUGAUUACAGAUGAAAUCGGCUGAUCGACGGUAUAGAGAUUUUUGGACAAGAAUGGAAAGAAAAUAUGAAAUUUUAGAAAAUUCAAAAACUAAUCUACUUUACGUUAGAUCUAAAAUAGAAGAAAUUGCAGAUUGGAUAAAUAAAAAAACAGAUAACUUAAAUGAAAAUAAAAUAAUAAGUUAUGAGAGUAACAUAAUUGAAAAAAAUUUGAUUGAUUUGAAAAACAUGAACAAAAAAGCAAAAACAAACAAAAUUUUCUUAACCGAUUCUCUAGCAGUCAAACUUAAUGCAAUAGAGCUUGAAUCAGAACCAAUUGAAUUCAAUGACCUUGAAGAAAAAUUGUAUAAACCCACAGUUAACAAAUUAGACAAUUUAAUAACAAGUAAUUAUAAAUAUUUUUAAUAUUAUUUUAAAAAUAAUAAUAAAUUUUAUAUUUUUGAAUAUUUUUGUUCUAGGAAUAAAUGAAAACUUAUUUAAAACUAAAAACAUGCAUGAAGCCAGUCAAAAGUUUGAAAAUACACUUAAUGAGUGUAAUCUCUGGUUAGAUCGUAGUGAAAAAGAUCUUUCACCAGAUAAAUAUAAAGUUGAACCUUUAGAAUUGAUUCAAGCAGAGA
rnacentral:lncRNA from 1 species